rnacentral:rRNA from 1 species
GACCUACGGGGGGCUGCAGUCGCGAAAACUUUGCAAUAAGCGCAAGCUUGACAGGGCUAUCCCGAGUGCCAUCCGCUGAGGAAGGCUUUUACCCAGUCUAGAACGCUGGGGGAAUAAGGAGAGGGCAAGUCUGGUGUCAGCCGCCGCGGUAAUACCAGCUCUCCGAGUGGUGUGGAUGUUUAUUGGGCCUAAAGCAUCCGUAGCUGGCUAAGUUAGUCCCCUGUUAAAUCCACCGAAUUAAUCGUUGGAUUGCGGGGGAUACUGCUUGGCUAGGGGACGAGGGAGGCAGACGGUAUUUUCGGGGUAGGGGUGAAAUCCUAUAAUCCCGGGAAGACCACCAGUGGCGAAGGCUGUCUGCUAGAACGCGCCCGACGGUGAGGGAUGAAAGCUGGGGGAGCGAACCGGAUUAGAUACCCGGGUAGUC